UUCAAAGGCAAAUUUGCUUUGGUUGACUGG
rnacentral:piRNA from 2 species